GACGAACGCUGGCGGCGUGCCUAAUACAUGCAAGUAGAACGCACAGUUUAUACCGUAGCUUGCUACACCAUAGACUGUGAGUUGCGAACGGGUGAGUAACGCGUAGGUAACCUGCCUGGUAGCGGGGGAUAACUAUUGGAAUCGAUAGCUAAUACCGCAUAAUAUUAAUUAUUGCAUGAUAAUUAAUUGAAAGGUGCAAUUGCACCACUACCAGAUGGACCUGCGUUGUAUUAGCUAGUAGGUGAGGUAACGGCUCACCUAGGCGACGAUACAUAGCCGACCUGAGAGGGUGAUCGGCCACACUGGGACUGAGACACGGCCCAGACUCCUACGGGAGGCAGCAGUAGGGAAUCUUCGGCAAUGGACGAAAGUCUGACCGAGCAACGCCGCGUGAGUGAAGAAGGUUUUCGGAUCGUAAAGCUCUGUUGUAAGAGAAGAACGGGUGUGAGAGUGGAAAGUUCACACUGUGACGGUAUCUUACCAGAAAGGGACGGCUAACUACGUG
rnacentral:rRNA from 1 species